ACUCAAAUGAAUUGACGGGGGCCCGCACAAGCGGUGGAGCAUGUGGUUUAAUUCGACGCAACGCGAAGAACCUUACCUGGGUUAGACAACGGUGGACCACCCUGGAGACAGGGUUUUCCCUUCGGGGACUGCCGGUUCAGGUGCUGCAUGGCUGUCGUCAGCUCGUGUCGUGAGAUGUUGGGUUAAGUCCCGCAACGAGCGCAACCCUUGCCUCUAGUUGCCAGCAUUAAGUUGGGCACUCUAGUGGGACUGCCGGCGUUAAGCCGGAGGAAGGUGGGGAUGACGUCAAGUCCUCAUGGCCCUUAUGCCCAGGGCUACACACGUGCUACAAUGGUCGGUACAGAGGGCUGCGAAGCCGCAAGGUGAAGCCAAUCCCACAAAGCCGGCCUCAGUUCGGAUUGGAGUCUGCAACUCGACUCCAUGAAGGUGGAAUCGCUAGUAAUCGCGGAUCAGCACGCCGCGGUGAAUACGUUCCCGGGCCUUGUACACACCGCCCGU
rnacentral:rRNA from 1 species